CACGUAGGCGGCCGAUCAAGUCGGGUGUGAAAGCCCCGGGCUCAACCCGGGAAGUGCACUCGAAACUGACCGGCUUGAAUAUGGAAGAGGGUCGCGGAAUUCCCGGUGUAGAGGUGAAAUUCGUAGAUAUCGGGAGGAGCACCAGUGGCGAAGGCGGCGACCUGGGCCAAUAUUGACGCUGAGGUGCGAAAGCGUGGGGAGCAAACA
rnacentral:rRNA from 1 species